AAUUCGAUGAUACGCGAGGUAACCUUACCUGGCUUAAAUGUAGAGUGCAUUUUCUAGAGAUAGGAAUUCCCUCCGGGGCUUUCUACAAGGUGCUGCAUGGUUGUCGUCAGCUCGUGCCGUGAGGUGUCGGGUUAAGUCCCAUAACGAGCGCAACCCUUAUCGUUAGUUGCCAGCUGGUAAAGCAGGGGACUCUAGCGAAACUGCCACCGUAAGGUGAGAGGAAGUGGGAUGACGUCAAAUCAGCACGGCCCUUAUGUCCAGGGCUACACACGUGUUACAAUGGCCGGCACAGAGGGCAGCUACCUGGUGACAGGAUGCUAAUCUCGAAAACCGGUCUCAGUUCGGAUCGAAGUCUGCAACUCGACUUCGUGAAGCUGGAUUCGCUAGUAAUCGCGCAUCAGCCAUGGCGCGGUGAAUACGUUCCCGGGCCUU
rnacentral:rRNA from 1 species